GACUGUAAAUCCGCUGGCUACGCCUACGUUGGUUCAAAUCCAACUCGGCCCA
rnacentral:tRNA from 1 species